UACGUAGGGGGCAAGCGUUGUCCGGAAUCAUUGGGCGUAAAGAGCGUGUAGGCGGCCCGGUAAGUCCGCUGUGAAAGUCCAGGGCUCAACCCUGGGAUGCCGGUGGAAACUGUCGAGCUAGAGUCCGGAAGAGGCGAGUGGAAUUCCUGGUGUAGCGGUGAAAUGCGCAGAUAUCAGGAGGAACACCGAUGGCGAAGGCAGCUCGCUGGGACGGUACUGACGCUGAGACGCGAAAGCGUGGGGAGCAAACAGG
rnacentral:rRNA from 1 species